GACGAACGCUGGCGGCGUGCUUAACACAUGCAAGUCGAGCGAUGAAGCACCUUCGGGUGUGGAUUAGCGGCGAACGGGUGAGGAACACGUGAGGAAUCUGCCUUCCACUCUGGGAUAACUCCGGGAAACCGGGGCUAAUACCGGAUACUUUCAACUGGCGGCAUCGCCGGUUGAAGAAAGUUUUUCGGUGGAAGAUGACCUCGCGGCCUAUCAGCUUGUUGGUGAGGUAAUGGCUCACCAAGGCGACGACGGGUAGCCAGCCUGAGAGGGCGGCCGGCCACACGGGGACUGAGACACGGCCCAGACUCCUACGGGAGGCAGCAGUGGGGAAUAUUGGGCAAUGGAGGAAACUCUGACCCAGCGACGCCGCGUGAGGGAUGAAGGCCUUCGGGUUGUAAACCUCUUUCAGCAGGGAAUAAGCGAAAGUGAAGGUACCUGCAGAAGAAGCACCGGCUAACUAUGUGCCAGCCGCCGCAGUAA
rnacentral:rRNA from 1 species